AUUGAACGCUGGCGGCAUGCCUUACACAUGCAAGUCGAACGGUAACGCGGGGCAACCUGGCGACGAGUGGCGAACGGGUGAGUAAUGCAUCGGAACGUGCCCAGUAGUGGGGGAUAGCCCGGCGAAAGCCGGAUUAAUACCGCAUACGACCUACGGGUGAAAGCGGGGGACCGUAAGGCCUCGCGCUAUUGGAGCGGCCGAUGUCAGGUUAGGUUGUUGGUGGGGUAAAAGCCUACCAAGCCGACGAUCUGUAGCUGGUCUGAGAGGACGACCAGCCACACUGGGACUGAGACACGGCCAGACUCCUACGGGAGGCAGCAGUGGGGAAUUUUGGACAAUGGGGGCAACCCUGAUCCAGCCAUGCCGCGUGCGGGAAGAAGGCCUUCGGGUUGUAAACCGCUUUUGUCAGGGAAGAAACGCUCUGGGCUAAUACCCCGGGGUAAUGACGGUACCUGAAGAAUAAGCACCGGCUAACUACGUGCCAGCCGCCGCGGUAAAAC
rnacentral:rRNA from 1 species